UACAGAGGGUGCGAGCGUUGUCCGGAAUCACUGGGCGUAAAGGGCGCGUAGGUGGCGCUGCAAGUCGGUGGUGAAAGCUCGUCGCUUAACGACGAGUCGGCCAUCGAAACUGCAGGGCUGGAGCACUGUAGGGGCUAAUGGAAUUCCGGGUGUAGCGGUGGAAUGCGUAGAGAUCCGGAAGAACACCAGUGGCGAAGGCGGUUAGCUGGGGCAGUUUGCUGACACUGAGGCGCGACAGCGUGGGGGAGCAAACAGG
rnacentral:rRNA from 1 species